rnacentral:rRNA from 1 species
CCUACGGGUGGCAGCAGUGAGGAAUAUUGGUCAAUGGGCGCGAGCCUGAACCAGCCAAGUCGCGUGAGGGAUGAAGGUUCUAUGGAUCGUAAACCUCUUUUAUAAGGGAAUAAAGUGUGGGACGUGUCCUAUUUUGUAUGUACCUUAUGAAUAAGGAUCGGCUAACUCCGUUCCAUCAGCCGCGGUAAUACGGAGGAUUCGAGCGUUAUCCGGAUUUAUUGGGUUUAAAGUGUGCGUAGGCGGCCUUUUAAGUCAGGGGUGAAAGUCUGUGGCUCAACCAUAGAAUUUCCGUUGAAACUGGGGGGCUUGAGUAUAUUUGAGGCAGGCGGAAUGCGUGGUGUAGAGGUGAAAGGCUUAGAUAUCACGCAGAACCCCGAUUGCGAAGGCAGCUUACCAAGCCAUGACUGACGCUGAUGCACGAAAGCGUGGGGAUCAAACAGGAUUAGAUACCCGUGUAGUC